AGAAUCAACGCUGGCGGCGUGCCUAACACAUGCAAGUCGAACGAGAAAGUGGAGCAAUCCACAAGUAAAGUGGCGCACGGGUGAGUAACACGUGACUAACCUACCCUUGAGUGGGGGAUAACCUAGGGAAACCUGGGCUAAUACCGCAUAAUACCUACGGGUCAAAGGAGCAAUUCGCUUAAGGAGGGGGUCGCGGCCGAUUAGUUAGUUGGCGGGGUAAUGGCCCACCAAGACGAUGAUCGGUAUCCGGCCUGAGAGGGCGCACGGACACACUGGAACUGAAACACGGUCCAGACUCCUACGGGAGGCAGCAGUGGGGAAUUUUGCGCAAUGGGGGAAACCCUGACGCAGCAACGCCGCGUGGAGGAUGAAGUCCCUUGGGACGUAAACUCCUUUCGAUCGGAACGAUAAUGACGGUACCGGAAGAAGAAGCCCCGGCUAACUUCGCGCCAGCAGCCGC
rnacentral:rRNA from 1 species